rnacentral:misc_RNA from 1 species
UUGAAUAAACUUGGUCAAGCUGUUGCUGGUCCUUCGGGGCAUGUGCACGCUUGCCACCAAUUUUAACCACCUGUGCACCUUAUGUAGAUUGGAAACGUUUCUCGAGGCAACUCGGAUUGAGGACUGCUGUGCGCAAGCCGGCUGUUCUUGUGUUUCACAAUCUAUGUUUUCAUAUACUCCCAAUGUAUGUAUCAGAAUGUAUUGCUGGGCCUUUGUGCCUUUAAAACAAAUA